rnacentral:rRNA from 1 species
CCGGCAUAACCCCGGGAAACUGGGGAUAAUUCCGGAUAACGCACAUAUGCUGGAAUGCUUUAUGCGUAAAAUGGAUUCGUCUGCCCAAGGAUGGGUCUGCGGCCUAUCAGGUAGUAGUGGGUGUAAUGUACCUACUAGCCUACAACGGGUACGGGUUGUGAGAGCAAGAGCCCGGAGAUGGAUUCUGAGACAUGAAUCCAGGCCCUACGGGGCGCAGCAGGCGCGAAAACUUUACAAUGCGGGAAACCGUGAUAAGGGGACACCGAGUGCCAGCAUCAUAUGCUGGCUGUCCAGGUGUGUAAAAUACACCUGUUAGCAAGGGCCGGGCAAGACCGGUGCCAGCCGCCGCGGUAACACCGGCGGCCCGAGUGGUGAUCGUGAUUAUUGGGUCUAAAGGGUCCGUAGCCGGUUUGGUCAGUCNUCCGGGAAAUCUGACGGCUUAACCGUUAGGCUUUCGGGGGAUACUGCCAGGCUUGGAACCGGGAGAGGUAAGAGGUACUACAGGGGUAGGAGUGAAAUCUUGUAAUCCCUGUGGGACCACCUGUGGCGAAGGCGUCUUACCAGAACGGGUUCGACGGUGAGGGACGAAAGCUGGGGGCACGAACCGGAUUAGAUACCCGGGUAGUCCCAGCCGUAAACGAUGCUCGCUAGGUGUCAGGCAUGGCGCGACCGUGUCUGGUGCCGCAGGGAAGCCGUGAAGCGAGCCA